rnacentral:rRNA from 1 species
GUACACUCCUGCGGGAGGCAGCAGUGGGGAAUAUUGAACAAUGGGCGCAAGCCUGAUCCAGCCAUGCCGCGUGAGUGAUGAAGGCCCUAGGGUUGUAAAGCUCUUUCACCGGUGAAGAUAAUGACGGUAACCGGAGAAGAAGCCCCGGCUAACUUCGUGCCAGCAGCCGCGGUAAUACGAAGGGGGCUAGCGUUGUUCGGAUUUACUGGGCGUAAAGCGCACGUAGGCGGACUAUUAAGUCAGGGGUGAAAUCCCGGGGCUCAACCCCGGAACUGCCUUUGAUACUGGUAGUCUUGAGUUCGAGAGAGGUGAGUGGAAUUCCGAGUGUAGAGGUGAAAUUCGUAGAUAUUCGGAGGAACACCAGUGGCGAAGGCGGCUCACUGGCUCGAUACUGACGCUGAGGUGCGAAAGCGUGGGGAGCAAACAGGAUUAGAAACCCGGGUAGUCCC